GGGUCAGGCUCACUGAGGGGCCGCUCCUCCCACUUGCUUGGGAUGCUCGUGUGGACAGGGUCACGUGGCACGAUGCCAGCUGCGCUCUGUAUUUAUCAUGAAAUCUGACAUGUGAGAUCUGAACUUACUAAGAUGCAAUGACGGGGGUGACUUGUCACGUUACCAAAGGCUUAUUUUCUUUCAGGGAAAAAGUCACAAUUCAAUUCCUCUAGGGAAAAGCCCUACAGGGCUCAAAAGAUCUAUUUCAACAUCACCUAACAGAGACACGGCUGGACCCGAGCAGAGGUCAGUGUACCGGCCAGCUAUCCUGACACAGCGGCCCACAGUGCAUGGUACUCACCAGAUGAGGCAUCAGGAGGUCAGCCAGGUAGACAAAGGCAGCUCCAAGGGUGAAACCAAUGGCCACGGGAAAGAAGGCAAAGGCCCCAAAGCCCCCAGAGGACGUGGCCAUCUCGACCGCUGGAGCCAGGAGAGACCAAUAGGAAGCUGCUAGCAUGACCUAGAAAACCACAAUGAGCAACAGGUCAUUAAACUGCUCCAGGAAGACCUCCCAAAUGGGGUCUGCCACACCAGACCCCACAACUCCUCCCCAGCAAGUAUCAUGCCAAACCAGAAGCCGCCAUAGAGUUCCUGGAACCAACGUUGGAAGAACUCAGUUGGGGCAGGAUGGAGUGGACUUUGGGAUGAUGCCUACUUUGCUGUCGGUCAGACUCUAAUUCAGUAGUUCUCACCAGGGGCAGCUGUUUCCUCCAGGCAGUACCUGGCAGUGCCACGCGAGGGCAGGGAGACGAGGCUGCUAGAAGCGUCUGGUGAGUGGAAUCCAGAGGCCGGGAACCAUUCCAUGAUCACAGACCCUGCCAGCUAAGAAACCUCUGGCCCCAAACGUCAUCAUGCUGCUGAGAAAUGCUGUUCUCACUGAAUGCUUCCAAAACAAGCUGUUCACUGCUUUGUGAGCUCUGCUGCAUUACGAGACAACGCUGAUUAUUGCAGUGCUUGCUGAUGGUGAGCUGAAAUCUGUCUUCCUUCCAUUUUUAUCUGUUACCUCUGGGUCUACUCUCUGAAAGGCCAAAGAUGUUGUCUCUAUUCUGCGCUAUCUGACAGCCUGUGGCAUUUGUGAACACAACCGGUGAGUGACCUAUUAUUCUGAUGAAAUACACAUUGGUUCCAAGAACCCGGCCUGAGCUGCAUGUGCAACAAGCCGUUCGUGCAGACGCGACAGUGUGUGCUGUUCCUGGAGCUUCGGGUCUAUCUGAUAAAAGGAAAGCAGAUGAGGAAACCACAACUUACGAAGUCUAAGGAGGUAGCCCAAGUUCACACAACUAAUAAGCAGAGCAACCAGGAGCACCCCCGAGCCAGAGGACUCCAGGCCUCAUUCUACUCCAUGAGACCGGCCAGGGCGAGGCUGGCUGGAGGAAAGGCUGCACCACUCGGGGCCCAGCACCCCCACCACGCCGCCCUCAGCUCACCCCACGCUGCUGACGGUUUGAGACAUUUCCUGACAUGACUACAUCCUGAGAAGUUCGUCAUAAUUAAAUCGCAGGGAAAUUUUCAAAGUGCUUCAGAGAUGUAAUGAGUUUACAUUCAAUUAGUUUCUUCCUUCACUGGGAGAAUCAGAAAGCCCGAUUUCCUUAGAGAUUCAGAGGGGAGGGUUUCUCACUGCCCGUCUGGAGAUUUCUUUGCGUUUUCAGGGAUGUAAAUCAGCACAUGCCAAAGUUCUGGAAAAACCGGGCUGGGCCGAAAGGCAGCCCUCCCCAACGUAAACCUCUAAUGCACAUGCCACACUAGAAAAAUCUGUCAACAAAUGAAAAUCUCAAGU